AGGAAGUUAGUCCAACUUAAGACCUCUAAUUUCGGCUUAGAAGACCACGGUUAAAAUCCGUGACUUCCUU
rnacentral:tRNA from 1 species